CAGUCUUGCCAUAGAAGACUGAAAGAAUGUAAGAUUAACUUCUUUGUGACCAAUAUGACUUGCUCAUUGAUACAUUUGCUAUGUCAAUAUGAGAUGCAUGGCGAAGUAUUUAAUUUAUUUGUCUCUCUUCUAGGAGCUGUAGAAACAACAGGGUGCCUACUGCAGUAUGACGAGGACGCCCUGAUCAUAGAAGGUCCAGUGUCUUGGCAGGGUGAAAUGGCACUGAUAUCGUGUCCUGCAGGAUGCUGUGUCCUGCAAUCCUGUGUGCUGUGCUACAGACGCGUGUGGAGGUCAACCCGAAAUGGGCACAGUAGAGUGAAAGAGGAUCCUGGCAGGGAGACGGUAGUGUCCUGCAGGAUGGUGAUGGGCAAUCUUACAAGAGACCACAGAAAACUGAUAUAGUCUCCCAGAAGUGAGACUGAGUGCCUGUUGCAGUAUGACGAGGAAGCAGUGACCAGAGACCUUCAGUAGACCCUGCUGGCAUGAUUGGCGGCUGAAGAACAUGAAAUCAACAGCAAUGUUUAUAAUAUUGUACAUACCUGUAUAGUCUGCACUAAAAUGCUGUACCUGUACUAUUUUUCCUCUUACUUUCAUAUUUACCACGUAUUUACUAUGAAUUGACAACUUUUACUCAAAUCCAUUUUUGUAUGUGCCCUGACUAAAACUAUCCUUAAACCUAACCUGCCAGAGGUAUAAUAACAACCUGCUCUUAGCAAUGUGGCAGCAGUCUACUUGGAUGCAGCGGGGAACAUAGAACCCUUUUUUUUGAAAAAGCAUUGUAUGUUUCUGAGUUUUAUGAAUUGUGCCCUUCCCAAACCUAACCUGUCGUAGGGGCCUAUGAAAUCCGUUUUAUUUUUCCUCAUUCAGUUUUUUUCUGAUUUAUUUUUUGCCAAAUUGGAUUUUUUUUACAUUUUUGAACUUAUUUUCC